rnacentral:lncRNA from 12 species
GUCACAGGACAGAAGAAGGAAGGACAGAGAAGGAGGCCCUCCAUGUCCCAAGGGGGUUCUCUGCUGCCCAUCCACCGGGGACUCCAGGGAAGUUGGAGUGAGGACCACUGCCUCUCCCAGUGAGGAGACCGGGAGGCAUCAUCCUUCCAUGAAACCCCAUCUGGUAGAUUAGCCUGACCUGGUGAUGACAGGGGCCUCGCUGUGUUCUGCGGUGUGGGGAGGCUGGCGACCAACCUCCCUGAGCGUGGGCCGGGCUGAGUGCAGCACCCAUUCUGCACCGCAGACACCACAGAGUACCGUGCAUGGAGCUGCGCUCAGCGGGAAUGUCUGCCGAGACCAACUGUCCCUGAGAACUCUGAACGGAUGCCAUCGGACAUGUGGAAACGGAGGCCGUCCCAGUGGGAUGGAUGUUGAAUGGCCAAAUGAGAGAGACGGGGAAGGGGAAGCAUUGGUGAGAAUGUGAGGAAACAAGCCCUGCCCAGCGAUGUUCAGAAGGUGCUGUGGCUCAAGCGGACAAGUGGUUCAGCAGCCCCCAAGGAGAUCCAGCCACGCAGCUGCAGACACGAGGGGCUCACUGCCCACUUCUCUGGGCCCCUGAGAAGUUCAGAGGUAAGGGCAGGAAUAAUCCUAAGUGGAGUUUGCAUAUUGUAAAGUACCUUUUAAAUACUAGAAAGGCAUUAAAUUCAGUUGCAUGGGGUACACACUGCCCUGGGGUAGACACACACUGGAUGACGCUGAUUUUUUAAAAGAUGCUGUUGAAUGACAAAGAUGGGAAAACAGCGUGAUGCCUACAGGACAAUGAGGAUGAUGGAAGCUCUCUCUGUAAGGUAGAACCACACAGAGACAGAGGGAGCAGCCAUACUAAACACACCGAAGUUGUCACACGUGGAGAAAUCGAAUGACAGAAAUGGUGCUGGGGACUCCACAGUGUUACUCUGAGAUCAGUUAGGCAACGUUAAACUGAGCAGCUGUGCCGACGAAGAUGAUGGUGAGCCCUCCUCGGGUACUGUCCAAUGAGCCUUCUGCACUUGAGUUUCAAAGUGGGAAAUAAAAAACCCUAUUUAAGUGUAGUCA